AUGAGCACGACAUGGAGCUGGGGCACUUCCUGUACGAUCACAGUGAGAAGAAGCUGCAGUGUGUGGACUGCACCAAGGAACACAUCAACAGCAUCGAGGUCUCCUCACAGACGGUGCGUAGUGGGGCUCCUCUGCAGUCUAAAAUCAGCAUAAGACACGUGAACAUCACCACAGAUGUGGGGAGGAGUGGCCAGCUGUGGCUAUCCCUUCUAUGAGGGGCAAGGGAUGGUGGAAUGGUUUUGCUGCUCUAGCAAAGCUGUUGGGAGUUAGGCAUUGGGAGCAAAACCCCAUUGUGUCUCUGGGGCACUAGGGGUCCACAGCAAUGCCCAGCUUGCUAUGUCAAGGAGCCAACAUCCACCCACAGCCUAACAAACCAACAGACUGGCCUGUUCCUGAUCUCCUUUGGACCCACAAAACCCAUCUCAGAGGAUGCCAUGGUGUGUCCAAUGAUGCUCAUCUCCCUCCCUCUGCUUGCUGCACCUUUGCAGGAGGAUUGUGUUGCAGCCCAUUUGACAGACAACCUGACAUACACCUUCUGGGAGAGCAGCGGGCUCCCGGGGCAGCACUGGGUGCGGCUCAACAUGAAGAAAGGCGUCAUUGUCAAGAGGCUCUGGCUGACACUGGAUGGGCAGUCCAGCUCCUAUGUACCCAGGAGAGUGGCUGUGUAUGGGGGAACACCAAGCAGGCUGCAGCACCUGAGAACAGUCCUAAUUAACGACUUCCACUUCCUCCAGAACGUCUCUGUGCCUCUGACAGCCUCUUCUCUCUGCUUGGGCACCUCCUGCCACAGCCCUGGUGAGGUGGGGGGGCUUUUGCAUGGGUAGAAGCACAUCCUUGGCU
rnacentral:lncRNA from 1 species